AAUGAUUCCCCACAUCGGGAGCUAUAGGGAACGAAUUGAGACACAGCCCUGGAUGUAAUCACGUCUGUGCUGAUCACGUGCCUGUACACAAACCCGCAGCUCACUUGCAAAAGAUUAUCCGGUUAUUUAUUACACGUAAAGUAAACGUUUUUAAUGUUAUCAUGAAUCAAUGUUAUAGUUUUGUAUGUCACAUUAUUUUUUGAGAAGAGUCAUGACUGAACGCGGACCUUACACGCUGUUAUUUUUUUGUGUGCGUAUGGCCAAGGUACAGUGCGCUCUUUUGCACUCUAUGACCAGCCAUCAGUAAAUCGAAAUACAGUAAAAAAAUGAGCGCGAAACCCUGACACUUUACAGAAAGACACGGAUAUCCCCGCCCGAAGAAAAAAAGAACACAGGACAAUGGUUGCAAGUUAAACAGCUGAACAUUUCACCAUCUGCAAAGAACAUUUCACCAUCAACAUAUUAACAUAAACGGUUCUCUUUUUCUUGUUUGACUGCGUUUGGUACAGGUCACAACAACGACGGCAGAUGUAGAGACCACGCUUUCCCUUGCUUCCACUCCACGGCUGAUCAUGCUUGAGGAUCCAGAUCUACAAAACAAAAAAUGGAUGCUGCCGAUUGAAGGCUAAGUCCGCUUUCCUGCGAUUGACCUACCAUUUCUUCAGCUUUUGCUGUUCACUUUGGUUGCUACUACGUGCUCAACAUCGAGUACCAUGUGCAAGCAGCCACUACUUUGGAGUUUAUUCAGAGAUUUAUUGUGAGGAUCAGCCCCGACAACAGCAAGUGCUCCUCUAACUUCCAGGUGAGCAAAAGAAGUGGGAAGAUGGUGCAAAGGAAGAACUCUGGCCUGAACCAUCAUGUAUAUAUCCACCUUUAUUAAGGACUUUAUGAAUUAAGCAAAACUAUUAAGCAACUAAAGCAAAUACAUUCUACUCAACUCACCAGAGGUUUGUGAAGUUCUUUUUUUUCUUAAAGGUUUCUUUUAGUUAAUUUGUCCAUGCACUGAUUUAUAAUAUUGUAAUAUGAAACUCCAGUGUAUACAUGUUACUACUGUUGCUUCUAAAAGCAAAAUAAGUCUAUGCAGGAGAGGUUUUGUUACGUUUUUUUAAAAAUUAUUC